AGCUUUUAGGUUGAGGCGGGUAUUCGAGACUAACUGGAUCUGCCUAUGAAAGAAGAACUAGAUGCUGCUGCUGCUGUUGAUGGACAGGACUCUUCCGAGAAUAAGUAUGACAGGUCUCAGCUACCCCACUUGCUGAAGAUAUACUACAAAUCACUGUUUCCAUAUGACAAGUACUGGGAGUGGCUUCACUAUGUUUUCGAGCUGUGAAGAAGGAGCUGGUGGUCGAUAUUGACAUGACGGACUAUGAUGACAUUUGUUAAGAGUCCAUUCUGUGUACACCCCAAAACAGGAUACUUUCUGCAAAACUACCAACUCGAAACAGGUAAACCUCUUUUCCUCAGCAUCAUGCGUACUCAUCCCACACACACGUGUAUGAGAUGCUGACAGAAAUGCUGACAAAAUCUCUUUCAUGAGGUCUUGGUAAGCAACAACAUAAUUAUUAUGAAGCUGCCGUGUACAAAACUCUUCUCUUUAAGCUCCUCUUCUAUAACACUUGAUCUAAGAUUGUUGCACUCUAUAUUAACUCAGUAUAACUAGUGCUAACUCUCGGCUGUUUACAUGUUUGUUUGUUCUGGGGCUAAGGUGCAACAACCACAAUCGUAAUUCUAGCUUUCUUCUUUAGUGACCCUGUUCCAUUGUUCCUGGUAUAGUAUCACUUCAACUCUAAAUGCAAAAGAAGCUUUAACAUCAAAAUCUGCCACUGUUACUAAUAAUAUGGAAGCUAUCUAUGCUGUAAACGCAGCGCUAUGGCAUCCAAGUAAGAAGACAUACUUUGUACUGAGGAGGUAGACUAGUGAAGGAACUAGUGCAAGAUACCAUUGGAAGUAAGCACGAGAUGAUACUAGUACCGGUGUCCAAAACCAAAUCAGCACUCAAUGCUAGCAGUUGUAGCAUGCAGACAGAUGGAGCUCAGAAGGCAGUUGAAGUACAAAAGCAGUACUACUGUGAGACAUUUUUGUUGUGUGUUCAAACCUUAAAACAGGAAGAACUAAUCAAGCGUUCUCCCAAAGGUAAACGUAUCAUGGUCAUUUUGGAUGCCAUCGAGCAAUUGGUUGUUGAGAGGAAAUGUGAGAGAUAUGUUACAGAGUUGGUUCAGAUAAUGAACACAUGCCUAAGUGCAAGUCAAAUUCACCAUUUGCCAGCUGCUGUUCGAGGUAAAAUUUGGACGGAGUUUCACCGCACACGUUGUAGCCCCGAAACAAAAAGGAUUUGGGAACAUUUAAUCAGUGAAAUCCCAGAAGUACACUUCGAGCAACAUCAACUUGCCAUGCAACUCUGUUUAGACCGGAUUUUAAAGCAACUCAUCAAGAGCAAGGCAGAUAAGAAACUGUAUGGUUUGAGCUCAACACAGGCAAACGUACAGACUCAACCACUGACAACGCUUGAAAGUAACGCAGUAAGGUAUAUGGUGGGAUAUGUUGCUGUUAGUUUGCUAAAGAAAUACAGAAAACCAUCAAAAAAUAUCAAUGUACAGGAGAAGAGGAGUCUCUUUGUCAAAGUUCUCUCCCAAAUGAAGUGUACUAAUCAACCUGGUGAACCGACUACUGCAUAUGAAUACAGCAAGCUUUGGUCUGAAUUGAUCGACAGAGGUGGUUUGUAUCAUAUCAAUGACAACAAUUGUGUAUACUUAGCCAUGUUAUAAAUUAUGAUUAUUUUUGCGCAGGUGUUUCUGUGCAUAGAGUCGACUGAGAUGGUCGUACGAAAGUAUCUAUGCACAGACACCCUCAAAACAACUCCUGAUCACAGUCAGAUAUGUACAAAGGUACAAGACGAAGUACUUCAGUCGGACACAGUGCUGCUGUAUUGGGAAGAAAUUGCUAAUUCAAUUCCUACCAAGUACGAGCUAUACAGCAUUGAACUAUUGCAGCAGAUAUGUGAACUGUGGAUACACAUCCGUGGACACGCUUUCGCAAAAGAAUGGACAAUGAAAUUCGAGUCUAAGUACAAGAAAGGGACCAGAAAAACUUUAAAGCCAAAACAAUAACGAUCUUAAUUAAUUCUCUCAAUACAAUAAUCAUAAUAAUUAUGUGUUGUGGAAGUCAUAAUUAUUUUAAUGUUGAUGAUCAUGAUAAUAAUUAUUCUAAAGUUCAACGAGAGUACAUGAUGAAUGAUUUCUUGAUCUCUUACGAAGUGGCUGUGAGACACAUUCUAGCUUGCUUGUCAGUUUCUGAAUCAACAUUCAUGGACUUUAAGUCUCUGUAGAUAGACCUUUGCUGUACAAGUGUAGACGCAUUGUAUGGUACUUGAAAAGCAGUCGGAUUUUUUUCAUUGCUGCCUCCACAAUGGCGUUGCCUAGAGAAAUAACGCU